UACGUAGGUGGCAAGCGUUGUCCGGAUUUACUGGGCGUAAAGGGAGCGUAGGCGGAUAUUUAAGUCAGAUGUGAAAUACCCGAGCUUAACUUGGGUGCUGCAUUUGAAACUGGAUAUCUGGAGUGCAGGAGAGGAAAGUGGAAUUCCUAGUGUAGCGGUGAAAUGCGUAGAGAUUAGGAAGAACACCAGUGGCGAAGGCGGCUUCCUGGACGACCAACCUGACGCUGGAGACCGCGAAAGCGUGGGGAGAAACAGGAUUGAAGAACCCUUGGUAGUCCAAGAACCAA
rnacentral:rRNA from 1 species